rnacentral:rRNA from 1 species
UGGGGAAUAUUGCACAAUGGGCGCAAGCCUGAUGCAGCCAUGCCGCGUGUAUGAAGAAGGCCUUCGGGUUGUAAAGUACUUUCAGUCGGGAGGAAGGUGUCAAGGUUAAUAACCUUGGCAAUUGACGUUACCGACAGAAGAAGCACCGGCUAACUCCGUGCCAGCAGCCGCGGUAAUACGGAGGGUGCAAGCGUUAAUCGGAAUUACUGGGCGUAAAGCGCACGCAGGCGGUUGAUUGAGUCAGAUGUGAAAUCCCCGGGCUUAACCCGGGAAGUGCAUCUGAUACUGGUCAGCUAGAGUCUUGUAGAGGGGGGUAGAAUUCCAUGUGUAGCGGUGGAAUGCGUAGAGAUGUGGAGGAAUACCGGUGGCGAAGGCGGCCCCCUGGACAAAGACUGACGCUCAGGUGCGAAAGCGUGGGGAGCAAACAGG